rnacentral:rRNA from 1 species
UACGUAGGGGGCAAGCGUUGUCCGGAUUUAUUGGGCGUAAAGAGCGUGUAGGCGGUCAGGUAGGUCCGUUGUGAAAACUCGAGGCUCAACCUCGAGACGCCGAUGGAAACCAUCUGACUAGAGUCCGGAAGAGGAGAGUGGAAUUCCGUGGAUGUAGCGGUGAAAUGACGCAAGAUAUCAGGAAGAACACCCGUGGCGUAAGGCGGCUCUCUAGUACGGUACUGGACGCUGAGGCGCGAAAGCGUGGGGAGCGAACAGG